UACGUAGGCAGCAAGCGUUGUUCGGAGUUACUGGGCGUAAAGGGUGUGUAGGCGGUUGUUUAAGUUUGGUGUGAAAUCUCCCGGCUCAACUGGGAGGGUGCGCCGAAUACUGAAUGACUAGAGUGCGGGAGAGGAAAGUGGAAUUCCUGGUGUAGCGGUGAAAUGCGUAGAUAUCAGGAGGAACACCGGCGGUGUAGACGGCUUUCUGGACCGUAACUGACGCUGAGACACGAAAGCGUGGGUAGCAAACAGG
rnacentral:rRNA from 1 species